AUUGAACGCUGGUGGCAGGCCUAACACAUGCAAGUCGAGCGGAUGAAGGGAGCUUGCUCCUGGAUUCAGCGGCGGACGGGUGAGUAAUGCCUAGGAAUCUGCCUGGUAGUGGGGGAUAACGUCCGGAAACGGGCGCUAAUACCGCAUACGUCCUGAGGGAGAAAGUGGGGGAUCUUCGGACCUCACGCUAUCAGAUGAGCCUAGGUCGGAUUAGCUAGUUGGUGGGGUAAAGGCCUACCAAGGCGACGAUCCGUAACUGGUCUGAGAGGAUGAUCAGUCACACUGGAACUGAGGCACGGUCCAGACUCCUACGGGAGGCAGCAGUGGGGAAUAUUGGACAAUGGGCGAAAGCCUGAUCCAGCCAUGCCGCGUGUGUGAAGAAGGUCUUCGGAUUGUAAAGCACUUUAAGUUGGGAGGAAGGGCAGUAAGUUAAUACCUUGCUGUUUUGACGUUACCAACAGAAUAAGCACCGGCUAACUUCGUG
rnacentral:rRNA from 1 species